AUGUUGUUUAUCAACCAAUGGAUGAUUGAGAAAAACAUUUAUAACUCAGAUUUAUUUGUUCUUCUGUUUUUCUCAGGUGUAAGUCGUCCUAAAGUGAUCGUCCUGCCGCCGUCCAGUGAAGAGAUUUCCAGCAAGAAGGCAGCAACAGUGAUGUGUGUGGCCAGCAAUGGUUUCCCUUCAGACUGGAGUCUGAGCUGGAAAGUGAAUGGGAAGAUGUCAGGAUCUCAGGAGAACAGAGCUGGAGUCCUACAGAAAGACGGCGGUCUGUACAGCUGGAGCAGCAGUCUGACUCUCACUGAACAAGAAUGGAUCAACAGAGACUCAGUGAUCUGUGAGAUCAGUCGGGAAGGUCAGACAGUCACUGGAGAAGUGAAGAAAGAUCUGUGUUCUGAGUAGAUCCUCUCUUCUUCUCAUCUCUUCUUCUCAUUCAUGUCU